UACGUAGGGUGCAAGCGUUGUCCGGAAUUAUUGGGCGUAAAAGAGCUCGUAGGCGGUUUUGUCGCGUCUGCUGUGAAAUCCCAGGGCUUAACCCUGGGCCUGCAGUGGGUACGGGGCAAACUAGAGUGCGGUAGGGGGGGAUCGGAAUUCCUGGUGUAGCGGUGAAAUGCGCAGAUAUCAGGAGGAACACCGGGUGGCGAAGGCGGAUCUCUGGGCCGUAACUGACGCUGAGGAGCGAAAGCAUGGGUAGCGAACAGG
rnacentral:rRNA from 1 species